rnacentral:lncRNA from 1 species
GAGGUCCUGUGAGCCUUCCUCGGAGGAAAACUCUAACCAGUCCUCAUCAAGUUACCCCUCACAAAACGCAAGGGUGGCAACAACGAAUGCAAGCUCCCAUCCCUUUCCUCCAUAGACACAUCAACUGAAACGUGGUCUACAACAGAAUUCGAAGAUUGAAGUCUUUGUGUAUUAGCUUCUUCGUUAUGACCAGCCAUUUUCUUCAAAUUCUCAGUACUUCAGCUUAAUUACACUAUGUUUCCACAUAAUUCAAUACACAAACCUACAAAAAAAAUCCCCAAAAAAAAAAAAAAAAUUCUAGCUAUAAACGAACUAAUCAAUCAACGAAAAAACAACUUACUACAUACCUCCACACAUGAAUGCAGAUUAACAAGCUAAAAAAAUCAAGUUUGUAAGUGUAGAGGUAAGGCUUCAUGGCACAACUGUCACACAAACGAUAAAAUCUUAGGUGUAAGCUUUAGGUUCCCUGUGAUGAUCUGGCGCUAUUAGCCCCCCUCGUAGAAACAGCCAGUCCGUAAAUUGAUCGAACCAAGAACCGACCAUCCUUAGUAAAACCCCAUACCAUUCGGUUUGAGGGAAAUCUAUAGCUCAACGACAUGGCCAGAAUUCGGUCCGCAACUUGGGGUAAUUGAAAUCAGUGAAUUUGUAUAAAAUUGAAGUAAGUGAAUCCCAAAUUGAAAUACCCCGCAUAAAAGAUCGACACUCAUAAAAAGGUUGAAAUCUAAAAAGGUAUCACCACCCAAUAGAGGAGUCGAAGCUUCACACCAAAAAAUUAAAAAACCCUAGCUACAACCCAAAUAGCUAACACAAACUCCAAAUACGAACAAAUCGCAAUAAGGGAUUCAAUGGUGCCACAGUUUCGUUUCUUACCGUUGUUGAGAAUAUCAACGACUGCUUCUUCGUAGGACGUCGAAUUCUCAGCAAUAGAGAGAUGAAGAAGUCGACGGAUGAAAUUUUUACCCAAAACGAAAUUCUAAUACCAAAGCUGGAGGGCAAUUAAGGCAACCUAAUUCUAAUCUUGAAGUCUGGC